rnacentral:rRNA from 1 species
UCGGGGUGCCCAGGCGCGAAAACUCCACACUGUACGACAGUACGAUGGGGUUAUCUCGAGUGCAGUCCGAUAAGGGCUGCUUUUCCAUAGAGUAAUAUCCUGUGGGAAUAAGAGGGGGGCAAGACUGGUGUCAGCCGCCGCGGUAACACCAGCCCCUCGAGUGGUGGGGACUAUUAUUUGGUCUAAAGCGUCCGUAGCUGGCUGUAUCCGUCCCCCGUUAAAUCCAGCGUCCUAAACGUUGGACUGCGGGUGAUACCAUACAGCUAGAGGGUGGGAUAGGUGAGCGGUAUUUCUGGGGUAGGGGCGAAAUCCUUUGAUCCCAGGAGGACCACCAGUGGCGAAGGCUGCUCACUAGAACACGCCUGACGGUCAGGGACGAAAGCUGGGGCAGCGAACCGGAUUAGAUACCCGGGUAGUCCCAGCUGUAAACGAUGCUANGCUAGGUGUUGGGUCGGCCACGCGCCGCCCCAGUGCCGCAGGGAAGCCGUUAAGCUAGCCACCUGGGGAGUACGGCCGCAAGGCUGAAACUUAAAGGAAUUGGCGGGGGAGCAC